rnacentral:rRNA from 1 species
UACGUAGGGCGCAAGCGUUGUCCGGAAUUAUUGGGCGUAAAGGGCUCGUAGGCGGCCAACUAAGUCAGACGUGAAAUCCCUCGGCUUAACCGGGGAACUGCGUCUGAUACUGGAUGGCUUGAGUGUGGGAGAGGGAUGCGGAAUUCCAGGUGUAGCGGUGAAAUGCGUAGAUAUCUGGAGGAACACCGGUGGCGAAGGCGGCAUCCUGGACCGGUAUUGACGCUGAUGCGCGAAAGCCAGGGGAGCAAAGCGGGG